rnacentral:rRNA from 1 species
UACAGAGGUCUCAAGCGUUGUUCGGAUUCAUUGGGCGUAAAGGGUGCGUAGGCGGCGCGGUAAGUCGGGUGUGAAAUCUCGGAGCUUAACUCCGAAACUGCAUUCGAUACUGCCGUGCUUGAGGACUGGAGAGGAGACUGGAAUUUACGGUGUAGCGGUGAAAUGCGUAGAUAUCGUAAGGAGGACCAGUGGCGAAGGCGGGUCUCUGGACAGUUCCUGACACUGAGACACGAAGGCCAGGGGGAGCAAACGGG